rnacentral:misc_RNA from 1 species
UCUCCGUUGGUGAACCAGCGGAGGGAUCAUUACAGAGUUAUCUAACUCCCAAACCCAUGUGAACUUACCAUUUGUUGCCUCGGCAGAGCCUACCCGGUAACUGUUCGGAGAAGCUACCCUGUAGCUACCCUGUAACGGCCUACCCUGUAACGCACUGCCGGUGGACCACACCAAAACUCUUGUUGUUACAGUGUCAUUCUGAAUUUAAAAACUUAAUCAGUUAAAACUUUCAACAACGGAUCUCUUGGUUCUGGCAUCGAUGAAGAACGCAGC